rnacentral:rRNA from 1 species
GACGAACGCUGGCGGCGUGCUUAACACAUGCAAGUCGAACGGUGAAGCGCCUUCCUUUUUGGUGGGUGUGGAUGAGUGGCGAACGGGUGAGUAACACGUGAGUAACCUGCCCCCUUCUACUGGAUAACCGCAUGAAAGUGAGGCUAAUACGGGAUAUUCUGGGUCUGUCGCAUGAUGGGUCUGGGAAAGAUAUUGUUUCGGUGGGGGAUGGGCUCGCGGCCUAUCAGCUUGUUGGUGGGGUGAUGGUCUACCAAGGCGGUGGCGGGUAGCCGGCCUGAGGGGGUGGUCGGUCGCACUGGUACGGAGGCGCGGCCGAGCCGACUACGGGGGGCAGCAGCGGGGAAUAUUGCACAAUGGGCGGAAGCCUGAUGCAGCGACGCCGCGUGAGGGAUGGAGGCCGUCGGGUUGUGAUCCUCUUUCGCCAGUGAAGCAGGACUGCCUUGUUUGUGGGUGUGUUGACGGUAGCUGGAGAAGAAGCGCCGGCUAACUACGUG